rnacentral:rRNA from 1 species
GACGAACGCUUGCGGCGUGCUUAACACAUGCAAGUCGAACGGAAAGGCCCUGCUUUUGUGGGGUGCUCGAGUGGCGAACGGGUGAGUAACACGUGAGUAACCUGCCCUUGACUUUGGGAUAACUUCAGGAAACUGGGGCUAAUACCGGAUAGGAGCUCCUGCUGCAUGGUGGGGGUUGGAAAGUUUCGGCGGUUGGGGAUGGACUCGCGGCUUAUCAGCUUGUUGGUGGGGUAGUGGCUUACCAAGGCUUUGACGGGUAGCCGGCCUGAGAGGGUGACCGGCCACAUUGGGACUGAGAUACGGCCCAGACUCCUACGGGAGGCAGCAGUGGGGAAUAUUGCACAAUGGGCGGAAGCCUGAUGCAGCAACGCCGCGUGCGGGAUGACGGCCUUCGGGUUGUAAACCGCUUUCGCCUGUGACGAAGCGUGAGUGACGGUAAUGGGUAAAGAAGCACCGGCUAACUACGUGCCAGCAGCCGCGGUGAUACGUAGGGUGCGAGCGUUGUCCGGAUUUAUUGGCCGUAGAGGGCUCGUAGGUGGUUGAUCGCGUCGGAAGUGUAAUCUUGGGGCUUAACCCUGAGCGUGCUUUCGAUACGGGUUGACUUGAGGAAGGUAGGGGAGAAUGGAAUUCCUGGUGGAGCGGUGGAAUGCGCAGAUAUCAGGAGGAACACCAGUGGCGAAGGCGGUUCUCUGGGCCUUUCCUGACGCUGAGGAGCGAAAGCGUGGGGAGCGAACAGGCUUAGAUACCCUGGUAGUCCACGCUGUAAACGGUGGGUACUAGGUGUGGGGUCCAUUCCACGGGUUCCGUGCCGUAGCUAACGCUUUAAGUACCCCGCCUGGGGAGUACGGCCGCAAGGCUAAAACUCAAAGGAAUUGACGGGGCCCCGCACAAGCGGCGGAGCAUGCGGAUUAAUUCGAUGCAACGCGUAGAACCUUACCUGGGUUUGACAUGGAUCGGGAGUGCUCAGAGAUGGGUGUGCCUCUUUUGGGGUCGGUUCACAGGUGGUGCAUGGCUGUCGUCAGCUCGUGUCGUGAGAUGUUGGGUUAAGUCCCGCAACGAGCGCAACCCUUGUUCACUGUUGCCAGCACGUUAUGGUGGGGACUCAGUGGAGACCGCCGGGGUCAACUCGGAGGAAGGUGGGGAUGACGUCAAGUCAUCAUGCCCCUUAUGUCCAGGGCUUCACGCAUGCUACAAUGGCUGGUACAGAGAGUGGCGAGCCUGUGAGGGUGAGCGAAUCUCGGAAAGCCGGUCUCAGUUCGGAUUGGGGUCUGCAACUCGACCUCAUGAAGUCGGAGUCGCUAGUAAUCGCAGAUCAGCAACGCUGCGGUGAAUACGUUCCCGGGGCU